CCCUUAGAUGUUCUGGGCUGCACGCGCGCUACACUGAAGCGUUCAACGAGUAUUCACCUUGCCCGGGAGGGUUGGGUAAUCUUUUGAAAACGCUUCGUGAUGGGGAUAGAUUAUUGCAAUUAUUAAUCUUCAACAAGGAAUUCCUAGUAAGCGCGAGUCAUCAGCUCGUGCUGAUUACGUCCCUGCCCUUUGUACACACCGCCCGUCGCUCCUACCGAUUGAGCGAUCCGGUGAAUAAUUCGGACUGCAGCACUGCUUGGUCUCCAGGCUUUGCAGCGGAAAGUUUAGUGAACCUUAUCACUUAGAGGAAGGAGAAGUCGUAACA
rnacentral:rRNA from 1 species